rnacentral:lncRNA from 1 species
GGCCGGGACAAAGCCUGGGCCGGGCCUGCGCUUCCGUUCGCUUGACUGGCUGCGCUUGUUUUCAGGGUUUUGGUCUGAAAACGGAUCUUACCUGCGCAGAGCAAAAUCGGUUGUAGAUUAUAUCCACGAAAAUUCCUUCUAUUAAAAUGAAUUUCAAGUCCCACCUACCCUGGAAGCAGAAAGAGAGAGAAGAGAGAGAGUAAAGAGAAAGAGAAAAGAAAGAGAAGUUGAAAAAGAGAAAGAAAACCAAGAAAGAAAGAGAAAAAAACCGAAAAUAAAUGGACAAGAAAGAAAAGCCAACGUGCCAUGCAUCCCUGGAGCAUGAAACCCAGGAUGGGCCGCCUUCCAGCCUCCCACAGCUGUGAUGCAAGUUGAACACAUACAGAGAGACUGCAUCUGCACUGGGUGGUUUUCCUGAGCCUUGGGGAGCAGAAUGCAUGAAUCCCAGAUGGAGGAAGUGGACCAUGAGUCAAAGGAUGUAAGUGGCCUCUGGAACCUACAAAGGGCUCAUAAACAGAAGAGACUUGCUUGUCUCAGAUGAAACUUUGGACUGUGGACUUUUGAGUUAAUGCUGAAAUAAGACUUUGGGGGACUGUUGGGGAGGCAUGAUUGGUUUUGAAAUGUGAGGACAUGAGAUUUGGGAGGGACCAGGGGCAAAAUGAUAUGGUUUGGCUGUGUCCCCACCAAAUCUCAUCUUGAAUUGCAGCUCCCAUGAUCCCCACAUGUGGGAGGGACCCGGGGGGAGGUAACUGAAUCAUGGGGGUGGGAUUUUCCCAUGCUGUUCUCAUGAUAGUGAAUAAAUCUCAUGAGAUCUUAUGGUUUUAUAAAGGGCAGUUUCCCUGCACGGGCUCUCUCUUGCCCGCCACCACGUAAGACAUGUGUUUGCUCCUCCUUCACCUUCUGCCAUGAUUGUGAGGUCUCUCUAGCCGUGUGAAACUGUGAGUCCAUUAAACUUCUUUUUCUUUAUAA